UACGAAGGGGGCUAGCGUUGCUCGGAAUCACUGGGCGUAAAGCGCACGUAGGCGGCGCCGUAAGUCAGGGGUGAAAUCCCGGAGCUCAACUCCGGAACUGCCCUUGAAACUGCAGUGCUAGAAUCUUGGAGAGGCGAGUGGAAUUCCGAGUGUAGAGGUGAAAUUCGUAGAUAUUCGGAGGAACACCAGUGGCGAAGGCGGCUCACUGGUCCAUUACUGACGCUGAGGUGCGAAAGCGUGGGGAGCAAACAGG
rnacentral:rRNA from 1 species